rnacentral:rRNA from 1 species
GACGAACGCUGGCGGCGUGCUUAACACAUGCGAGUCGAACGGAAAGGCCCUGCUUUUGUGGGGUGCUCGAGUGGCGAACGGGUGAGUAACACGUGAGUAACCUGCCCUUGACUUUGGGAUAACUUCAGGAAACUGGGGCUAAUACCGGAUAGGAGCUCCUGCUGCAUGGUGGGGGUUGGAAAGUUUCGGCGGUUGGGGAUGGACUCGCGGCUUAUCAGCUUGUUGGUGGGGUAGUGGCUUACCAAGGCUUUGACGGGUAGCCGGCCUGAGAGGGUGACCGGCCACAUUGGGACUGAGAUACGGCCCAGACUCCUACGGGAGGCAGCAGUGGGGAAUCUUGCACAAUGGGCGGAAGCCUGAUGCAGCAACGCCGCGUGCGUGAUGACGGCCUUCGGGUUGUAAACCGCUUUCGCCUGUGACGAAGCGUUAGUGACGGUAAUGGGUAAAUAAGCACCGGCUAACUACGUG